rnacentral:rRNA from 1 species
GACGAACGCUGGCGGCGUGCUUAACACAUGCAAGUCGAACGGUGACGGAGAGCUUGCUCUCCUGAUCAGUGGCGAACGGGUGAGUAACACGUGGGCAACCUGCCCCAGACUUCGGGAUAACGCUUCGAAAGAGGUGCUAAUACCGCAUACGCCCUACGGGGGAAAGCAGGGGAUCUUCGGACCUUGCGCUAAUAGAUGAGCCUAAGUCGGAUUAGCUAGUUGGAGGGGUAAAGACCUACCAAGGCGACGAUCUGUAGCGGGUCUGAGAGGAUGAUCCGCCACACUGGGACUGAGACACGGCCCAGACUCCUACGGGAGGCAGCAGUGGGGAAUAUUGGACAAUGGGCGCAAGCCUGAUCCAGCCAUGCCGCGUGUGUGAAGAAGGCCUUUUGGUUGUAAAGCACUUUAAGCGAGGAGGAGGCUACCGAGAUUAAUACUCUUGGAUAGUGGACGUUACUCGCAGAAUAAGCACCGGCUAACUCUGUGCCAGCAGCCGCCGUAAAAC